AGAGUUUGAUCCUGGCUCAGGAUGAACGCUGGCGGUAUGCUUAACACAUGCAAGUCGAACGGGACCUUUCGGGGUUCAGUGGCGGACGGGUGAGUAACGCGUGAGAAUCUGCCAAAAGGUUCGGGACAACCACUGGAAACGGUGGCUAAUACCGAAUGUGCCUUCGGGUGAAAGAUUUAUUGCCUUUUGAUGAGCUCGCGUCUGAUUAGCUAGUUGGUGGGGUAAAGGCUUACCAAGGCAGCGAUCAGUAACUGGUCUGAGAGGAUGACCAGUCACACUGGGACUGAGACACGGCCCAGACUCCUACGGGAGGCAGCAGCCAGGAAUCUUGGGCAAUGGGCGCAAGCCUGACCCAGCAACACCGUGUGGGCGAUGAAGGCCUUCGGGUCGUAAAGCCCUGUUGAUAGGGACGAAGGGCGAAGGGUUAAUAGCCCCUAGCCUGACGGUACCUUUCGAGGAAGCCCCGGCUAACUCUGUGCCAGCAGCCGCGGUAAUACAGAGGGGGCAAGCGUUGUCCGGACUUACUGGGCGUACAGCGCGCGCAGGCGGUUCCAUAUGUGCCUGGUGACAUCGUGCCGCUCAACGGCACGCGGCCCGGGUAGACAGUGGAGCUGGAGGCAGGGAGAGGGAUGUGGAAUACCCGGUGGAGCGGUGAAAUGCGUAGAGAUCGGGUGGAACACCAGCGGCGAAGGCGGCAUCCUGGCCCUGAACUGACGCUGAGGCGCGAUAGCGUGGGGAGCAAACGGGAUUAGAUACCCCCGUAGUCC
rnacentral:rRNA from 1 species